rnacentral:rRNA from 1 species
CCCUACUGCUAUCGGGGUGGGACUAAGACAUGCUAGUCGAGCGCCUUGAGCUAUGGCGAGGCGCGGCGUACAGCUCAGUAACACGUGGCUAACCUACCCUUAGGACGGAGACAACCCCGGGAAACUGGGGCUAAUAUCUGAUAGGUGAGGAGGCCUGGAAUGGUUCUUCGCUGAAAAGGCGUUGAAACCAUGCUUUUCAGCGUCGCCUAAGGAUGGGGCCGCGUCCGAUCAGGUUGUUGGUGGGGUAACGGCUCACCAAGCCUAUAACCGGUACGGGCCGUGAGAGCGGGAGCCCGGAGAUGGGCACUGAGACAAGGGCCCAGGCCCUACGGGGCGCAGCAGUCGCGAAAACUCCGCAAUGCGCGAAAGCGUGACGGGGCUACCCCGAGUGCCGUCCGCUGAGGAUGGCUUUUCCCCGGUGUAAUGAGCCGGGGGAAUAAGGAGAGGGCAAGUCUGGUGUCAGCCGCCGCGGUAAUACCAGCUCUCCGAGUGGUAGGGACGAUUAUUGGGCUUAAAGCGUCCGUAGCCGGCUUAGCAAGUCUUCUGUUAAAUUCAGCGACCUAAUCGUUGAGCCGCGGGAGAUACUACUAGGCUAGGAGGCGGGAGGGGCCGACGGUAUUCUCGGGGUAGGGGUGAAAUCCUAUAAUCCCGGGAGGACCACCAGUGGCGAAGGCUGUCGGCUAGAACGCGCUCGACGGUGAGGGACGAAAGCUGGGGGAGCGAACCGGAUUAGAUACCCGGGUAGUCCCAGCUGUAAACGAUGCGGGCUAGGUGUUGGGGUGGCUACGAGCCACUUCAGUGCCGCAGGGAAGCCAUUAAGCCCGCCGCCUGGGGAGUACGGCCGCAAGGCUGAAACUUAAAGGAAUUGGCGGGGGAGCACCACAAGGCGUGAAGCUUGCGGUUC